rnacentral:rRNA from 1 species
UGGGUAACCUACCUAUAAGACUGGGAUAACUUCGGGAAACCGGAGCUAAUACCGGAUAAUAUUUCGAACCGCAUGGUUCGAUAGUGAAAGAUGGUUUUGCUAUCACUUAUAGAUGGACCCGCGCCGUAUUAGCUAGUUGGUAAGGUAACGGCUUACCAAGGCGACGAUACGUAGCCGACCUGAGAGGGUGAUCGGCCACACUGGAACUGACACACGGUCCAGACUCCUACGGGAGGCAGCAGUAGGGAAUCUUCCGCAAUGGGCGAAAGCCUGACGGAGCAACGCCGCGUGAGUGAUGAAGGUCUUCGGAUCGUAAAACUCUGUUAUUAGGGAAGAACAUACGUGUAAGUAACUAUGCACGUCUUGACGGUACCUAAUCAGAAAGCCACGGCUAACUACGUGCCAGCAGCCGCGGUAAUACGUAGGUGGCAAGCGUUAUCCGGAAUUAUUGGGCGUA